rnacentral:lncRNA from 1 species
AUCUCUGUCGGUGAGAAAAUGUGUGUGGAUGCUGACUUCUAGAAGACUCCAAAGCGCUUGUCUUCCCCACUCCCCAUUUCCAAAGGCUGAGACUCCUCUGCACUCCGAGUUUCCUCCCACGCUUCGUCUGAAGAGUGGGUUUUGGGGAGUGAAGGAUAGAAAAUAUCUGAAGACUCUUCCCUAUGACUUAAGACAUGAAUUUUCUUCUCAAGUCUUGAACUAAAGUCAGAAAGUGUUUGCAAGAAAUGUUCUUCUAGGUCCCACAUCCACGGGACCAGAUGAUGCCUGGCUCAAUGCAUUCCUAUCUGAAGUGGGGCAGAGAGGCUGGCAGCCUUCUUUACUAACCAGGCCUGGGAUGAGGUCAGGGGACACUGCUCCGUCACAAGACCAGCGACCCAUCCUGGUGAGGUCACCGAGUUGUCCUGUGUGGAGUCCGGCUCUUGUUUCCAAUGGGGAAAACAGCUUUCCUCAGAAAGUUCUACUCCCUCUGGGGAAAACGACUGAGAGGCUCUUGGCAGGGCUAUUCCCAGUUUCCUCACUAAUUACUCUGGGAUAUUCCCUCCUGAAUGAAGAAACUUCUAUAAUUUGGGUUAUAAAAGAUCUCUUUGAAUUUUC